rnacentral:piRNA from 1 species
UGAAAACAACGUUAUAAUGCCGUCGGAUGC